ensembl:lncRNA
GCAGGAUCCAACAUUUUAAUCAUUUUCACUCCACAGGUGGCCAGCGAAGGGAGACCUGGAGCUCCAGUGAGUGGGCAAGGGGAGGACAGAGGACCGACACAGAAAGAGGGAGCCCUCUUGUUCUGUUCCCACUUCCUUUGACACUCUUCCUGGCUUUAGGAAUCCCUAAGGGAUAGCUGAAGAACCAGCCUUCAGGAGACUGGCCCAUGAGAAGGAACCUGGAAUCUCCUGAAAGAUUUGACUCCUUCCUCUGUCCAACUCCUAGAGAACUCUCAGAAGACCCCAGGAAGUUGUGGGGGGUGGGGCGCUCUUAGAGUCUUACUCCCGUUGGCCUGAGUCUGUGGUCCCCCCACCCUGGCCCAUUCUAUUACUGCCUCUGAAUCAUUUGUAUAAGACACGCCCUUCUCUGUGAAUGGAGAACUUGGUGAGGCAGGGAGAGACUCUACUCACACCUGAGACCCCAGCCUCCAGCAAAGAGUGUGGGGGCCUCUGCAAAAUGCCUAAUGGACACUGCAUCCUGGUCCCAGAGUUUACACAGAUCCAGAGCACAGUGCCGUCUCCUACCUGCCCCUCCCUGACAAAUUUUUGCCUGGAUGGGGGAUUGACAUCCACCCCGUAUGUCAAUAUAUGUUGUCUUUCUCUGUUUAGAUAUCACUUCCCACAGUGGAUUCUGGGUCUAAUCUCCCAGACCCAGGAGAGAUGAUGUGUAAGCCAUCUUUGGGGGCUCUAGUGAUCUCAGGGUGCCGCUCAUGGUUCCUCCUGACCUGGCAUCAUCUGAUGCCACCCAGUCUCUCUUUGCAUCGUGCCCCUCCUCCUGACCUUGCUUUCUGCCCUGGGGGCCUGGAGCCAGCUUGUCCUGGCUAGUGAGCACAGACGGUAAGUGUCUCUUCCUAAGUUCAGGGACCUCAGCCUGAUGCCUUGACAUCAGCCACAGUGGGAGUAUUUACACCACAGAAAUGGGCAACGACAAACCAGGAUUUCCUCUUCCUUCCAGAGCUCAUUGUUAAGCACCUCCCAGCAUACCACUUCCUUCCCAUGCUACUUUCUUUCACUCCUGGCCUUGUGAAACCCACCAGUGAAUGGCUCGUGGCUCCUGCCUCCCCUACCCAAAAAUAAAAGAACUCAGAUUGAGAAAAUAGGUGCCAAAGUACCAAACUUCCAAGAGUGUUGGAAUGCCUGCAUCCUUCUUCAGAGCCUUACACUGCUUGUCUCUGUGGCCAUGGGUCAGGCUGUAUUCAAAUAAAUACAGUGCGGCCCCAGGAAAAUUUCCCAGGCCAAGCUCUAUUUAUAGUCCAACCCCAUAGUCGAAACUGAAAACAAAACCUCUAAAAGAGGGAGUGUGAGUGCGGGAUGUGGGGCUGCCCCCAAAUCCAUUUCUCUUGCCCCACCCCCGUCUCUUGUAUAUUUACAGGUGGGAAGCCUGUCCACCUCUUCUUCUCUUGGAAAUAGCCACAGUCAUAGCUGGUGUACCCCAUGCAGCAACCGUGAUUCUUCCAGUGUUUAGGUGAAGUUCACCUUUAAAAAAAAUGCUAAAACGAAAGAAAACAAACCAGACGUGAAACAGG